UAUUUAUUUUCGUACGGGGACGUCGGAGUUGCGGACGUCGUCGCCUCGUCCGGUGUGCGGCUGUGCAAUAUAGCAAUAUAUUCUAUUAUUUUAGUCAUAGAUAUUACCACAGAGUCGACGAGGUGCAUUGACAAGUUGCCCAAAACGGACGGUUACAUUUAGGUAAUCGCAGCCCUUGGCGUACGCCGACCGAUCGACUAUGGACAAAAAAAGAAAAGGCUAUAGAAGAGGAGACACAAUUUUAAUCGAUAAACCGUUUGUUCACGCUCUAAAGUCUACAUUCAAAAACGAAAAAUGUGAUUAUUGCUACUCCGAGGAUAACCUGUCUAGAUGUUCAGGAUGUCAAUACAUCCUUUAUUGUAACCGUACUUGCCAGAAGCUUUCCUGGACUGAGCAUAAGCGAGAAUGUGCUAGAAUGAAAAAAAUUCAUCCUAAAAUACUACCAGAUGCAGCACGGAUUAUGUCAAAAAUACUAAUUAAGCUUAAGAAUGGAGGAAGUACAGAAAAAGGUUAUUACACAUCUAAUCGUUCUAGAACAUUCAAGGAUCUCAUGUCACAUUAUCCAGAUUUAAAGGAUGACACCCAUCGAUUAGAACAUUUCUCUACACUAUGUGAAGUGUUAAAAGAAUACAUGGGUGAAGUUAAUCUUCCUAACGCUGUUGAAUUACUUGGAAUUUAUGGCCGGAUGUGCAUUAAUGCAUUUAAUAUAUUGGAUGAUAAUUUAAACACCAUAGGAACUGGAAUAUAUUUAGCAGCUUCAGUAAUAAAUCAUUCAUGUGUACCUAAUGCAACUGCAACAUUUGAUGGUAGUACAUUGAGAAUUGGUGCUAUUAUGGAUAUUGAAUAUUCUGAUCCAGAAUUGCAUGUAUUUAUAUCAUAUUUGGAACUCAUGCAAACUACAUCAGAAAGACGAAGUGAAUUACAAAAUAACUAUUAUUUCUUAUGUGAAUGCUUACGUUGUGUUACAAAUUAUGAGCAAAAUUUUGUAAACUCAAUGCUCUGUGAAAAUUCUGAUUGUCAAGCUGCAGUUCCUAUGAAAAGCAAACAAGAUGAGGUUUUGGAUUCAAUUAGUUGUUCAAAAUGUUUGAAAAAAAUCAGUGAAGAUAAAAUUAAAACCUUUUACGAUGUGACUGAUUUCACAGAGUUCCAAUUAAGUAGAAUGAAAGAUAUUGGUUGUAUCCUUUUUAUAGAUCCUAAUAUCUUGAUGUUUGUAAAAUGUGUCUGGAGAAACAAAAUGGUAUCUUUCAUCCAAACAACAUUAACCAUGUUAAAAUAUUGGAUUUAGCUUUUGAAAGUGCCAUAAAAAUGGAGCAAUGGAAAGAGAGUUUGAAAUAUGGAAUUCUUUUGAUCGAUGGAUAUAGGGUUUAUUAUAAUGAAUGGCACCCUUCUUUAGGAGUUUUGUACAUGAAAUUGUUUAAAUUGUCUUCCAUUGUUGAAAAUUCUGAAUCAGCUG
rnacentral:misc_RNA from 1 species